rnacentral:rRNA from 1 species
GACGAACGCUGGCGGCGUGCCUAAUACAUGCAAGUAGAACGCUGAAGAGAGGAGCUUGCUCUUCUUGGAUGAGUUGCGAACGGGUGAGUAACGCGUAGGUAACCUGCCUUGUAGCGGGGGAUAACUAUUGGAAACGAUAGCUAAUACUGCAUAACAAUGGAUGACACAUGUCAUUUAUUUGAAAGGGGCAAUUGCUCCACUACAAGAUGGACCUGCGUUGUAUUAGCUAGUAGGUGAGGUAAUGGCUCACCUAGGCGACGAUACAUAGCCGACCUGAGAGGGGGAUCGGCCACACUGGGACUGAGACCCGGCCCAGACCCCUACGGGAGGCAGCAGUGGGGAAUCUUCGGAAAGGGGGGCAACCCUGACCGAGCAACCCCGCGGGGGUGAAGAAGUUUUUCGGAUCGUAAAGCUCUGUUGUAAGUAAAAAACGGGUGUGAGAGGGGAAAGUCCACACUGGGAGGGGAGUUUCCCAGAAAGGGACGGCAAACUACGU